AUAGUACACCCUCCGUCCCAAAAUUCUUGCCUUGGAUUUGUCUAGAUAUGAAUGUAUCUAGUCACGUUUUAGUAUUUAGAUACAUUUAUUUCUAGACAAAUCGUAAGACAAGAAUUUUGGGACGGAAGGAGUACAAA
rnacentral:pre_miRNA from 1 species